rnacentral:rRNA from 1 species
GUGGGGAAUUUUGCGCAAUGGGGGAAACCCUGACGCAGCGACGCCGCGUGAAGGACGAAGGCCUUCGGGUUGUAAACUUCUUUUAUGAGGGAAGAUAAUGACGGUACCUCAUGAAUAAGCCACGGCUAACUCUGUGCCAGCAGCCGCGGUAAGACAGAGGUGGCAAGCGUUGUUCGGAAUUACUGGGCUUAAAGGGCGCGUAGGCGGUCGGAUAAGUCAGAAGUGGAAUCCCAUGGCUCAACCAUGGAAUUGCUUUUGAAACUGUACGACUUGAGUCAGUGAGGGGAGGGCGGAAUUCCUGGUGUAGCAGUGAAAUGCGUAGAUAUCAGGAGGAAGGCCGGUGGCGAAGGCGGCCCUCUGGCACUUGACUGACGCUGAGGCGCGAAAGCGUGGGGAGCAAACAGGAUUAGAAACCCCAGUAGUCC